rnacentral:rRNA from 1 species
AUACGUAGGUGACAAGCGUUAUCCGGAUUUACUGGGCGUAAAGCGCGUGUAGGCGGUCUUGCCAGUCAGAUGUGAAAUUCCUCAGCUCAACGCGGGCGCUGCUUCUGAAACUGCAGUACUUGAGUGCUGGAGGGGAUAGCGGAAUUUGUUGUGGAGCGGUCAAAUGCGUAGAGAUUCGAAGGAACACCGGUGGCGAAGGCGGCUAUCUGGACUGCAACUGACGCUGAGACACGAAAGCGUGGGGAGCAAACAGGAUUAGAUACCCUGGUAGUCCACGCCCUAAACGAUGGGCACUAAGUGUGGGAGGUAUCGACCCCUCCCGUGCCGCACCUAACGGAGUAAGUGCCCCGCCUGGGGAGUACGGCCGCAAGGUUGAAACUCAAAUGAAUUGACGG